AGUGGGAUAGCUGGGUCAAAUGGUGGUCCCUUUCCAAGUUUUCUAAGGAAUCUCCAUACUGCUUUCCAGAGUGGUUGCACCAUUUGCAGUCCCACCAGCAAU
rnacentral:pre_miRNA from 1 species